UACAGAGGUCCCAAGCGUUGUUCGGAUUCACUGGGCGUAAAGGGUGCGUAGGCGGUCGGGUAAGUCUGAUGUGAAAUCUCACAGCUUAACUGUGAAACUGCAUUGGAUACUAUCCGGCUCGAGGAAUGGAGGGGAGACUGGAAUACUUGGUGUAGCAGUGAAAUGCGUAGAUAUCAAGUGGAACACCAGUGGCGAAGGCGAGUCCCUGGACAACUCCUGACACUGAGGCACGAAAGCUAGGGGAGCAAACAGG
rnacentral:rRNA from 1 species